CGUGGACUCCCUCCCAGCGCUGAUGAAUGCACGCAGCCCAUCGAGGGUGCUCGCGAACGGCGAAGCGAGUUCAAAUCCAUCAUAGAGGCGCGUCCUGCCACUUUAAUAGUUGGCCAAUACCAUUCGUGCGUUGUUCGUUUGUCGGAAGAAACCGGACAACCCGUGCCAAAGCCGUGCAGAGCCUUCAUAAUGAGCAACGAUCUCGUGUCGUGAACACGCACGUACACAGUGGCUCGGCGGAGAGAACAUUACGGAUGUCCGGUCGAGGCAAAGUCAGAACGUGAGAACAACAAACGCAACGGAAAAAAAAACACGAAAGGCGUGCAAAGUAUAGGAAAGGUAAACACAUCGCUUAAAAAAACAUACAUAUGCAAAUU